GAUGAACGCUGGCGGCGUGCUUAACACAUGCAAGUCGAACGGAAAGGCUCCUGCUUGCAGGGGUACUCGAGUGGCGAACGGGUGAGUAACACGUGGGUGAUCUGCCCUGCACUUCGGGAUAAGCCUGGGAAACUGGGUCUAAUACCGGAUAGGACGAUGGUUUGGAUGCCAUUGUGGAAAGUUUUUCGGUGUGGGAUGAGCUCGCGGCCUAUCAGCUUGUUGGUGGGGUAAUGGCCUACCAAGGCGUCGACGGGUAGCCGGCCUGAGAGGGUGUACGGCCACAUUGGGACUGAGAUACGGCCCAGACUCCUACGGGAGGCAGCAGUGGGGAAUAUUGCACAAUGGGCGCAAGCCGGAUGCAGCGACGCCGCGUGGGGGAGGACGGCCUUCGGGUUGUAAACGCCUUUCGCUAGGGACGAAGCGUUUUGUGACGGUACCUGGAGAAGAAGCACCGGCUAACUACGUG
rnacentral:rRNA from 1 species